rnacentral:rRNA from 1 species
AUGGCGGAGAGGGUGACGACGAUGGCAUCACAGGGCAUGGUGGUGAUCUUUGGGGCGAGCUGCUGCUGCAUGUCCCACGCCAUGACGAGGCUCUUUGCGGAGCUGGGUGUUAGCUUACGGUGCACGAGCUGGACAAGGACCCCCAGAGGGAGGAUCUGGAGAGGGCGCUCGCUGGCAUGGUGGGCCAGAGCCCGGCAGUGCCGGCAGUAUUUAUCUGUGGCGCGCUAG